CCUACGGGGGGCAGCAGUGAGGAAUAUUGGUCAAUGGACGAGAGUCUGAACCAGCCAAGUAGCGUGAAGGAUGACUGCCCUAUGGGUUGUAAACUUCUUUUAUAAAGGAAUAAAACGAGGCACGUGUGCCUUUUUGCAUGUACUUUAUGAAUAAGGAUCGGCUAACUCCGUGCCAGCAGCCGCGGUAAUACGGAGGAUCCGAGCGUUAUCCGGAUUUAUUGGGUUUAAAGGGAGCGUAGAUGGGUUGUUAAGUCAGUUGUGAAAGUUUGCGGCUCAACCGUAAAAUUGCAAUUGAUACUGGAAGUCUUGAGUACAGUUGAGGUAGGCGGAAUUCGUGGUGUAGCGGUGAAAUGCUUAGAUAUCACGAAGAACCCCGAUUGCGAAGGCAGCUUACUAAACUGUGACUGACAUUGAUGCUCGAAAGUGUGGGUAUCAAACAGGAUUAGAUACCCGUGUAGUC
rnacentral:rRNA from 1 species